GCCUUCGUGGUGUAGUGGUCAGCACGCUCGACGUAUUUUCGAGAGGAUCGUGGUUCCAGUCCCGGCGAAGCCA
rnacentral:tRNA from 1 species